rnacentral:rRNA from 1 species
AUUGAACGCUGGCGGCAUGCUUUACACAUGCAAGUCGAACGGCAGCAUGGGUGCUUGCACCUGAUGGCGAGUGGCGAACGGGUGAGUAAUGUAUCGGAACAUAUCCGCAAGUGGGGGAUAACGUAGCGAAAGUUACGCUAAUACCGCAUAUUCCCUGAGGGGGAAAGGAGGGGAUCCGCAAGGACCUUUCGCUUACGGAGUGGCCGAUAUCAGAUUAGCUAGUUGGUGAGGUAAAGGCUCACCAAGGCGACGAUCUGUAGCGGGUCUGAGAGGAGUAUCCGCCACACGGGGACUGAGAAACGGCCCAGACUCCUACGGGAGGCAGCAGUGGGGAAUUUUGGACAAUGGGCGCAAGCCUGAUCCAGCCAUGCCGCGUGAGUGAAGAAGGCCUUCGGGUUGUAAAGCUCUUUCAGCUGGAAAAAAAUCGCUUCACCUAAUACGUGGAGUGGAUGAUGGUACCAGCAGAAGAAGCACCGGCUAACUACGUGCCAGCCGCCGCAGUAA